rnacentral:rRNA from 1 species
UACGGGGGGGGCAAGCGUUGUUCGGAAUUACUGGGCGUAAAGGGAGCGUAGGCGGAUAGUUUAGUCAGAGGUGAAAGCCCAGGGCUCAACCCUGGAAUUGCCUUUGAUACUGGCUAUCUUGAGUGUGGGAGAGGUUAGCGGAACUCCGAGUGUAGAGGUGAAAUUCGUAGAUAUUCGGAAGAACACCAGUGGCGAAGGCGGCUAACUGGCCCAUUACUGACGCUGAGGCUCGAAAGCGUGGGGAGCAAACAGG